UUUUGAUUUUGGUAAUUAUCAAUUUAUGAGAAUGCAUUAAUCAAUAAGGAAAAGACACAGAUUACUUAAAUGUAAGUUUAUUAAUCAAUUCAAUGGUAUUUUCUUGUAAAUAAGUUAAAAGUUUAAGGCAUAUUUCUAUUUUGUACUUAUCCUUUAAUAGUAUAGAUUAAUCACUUCAAUGGUAUUUUCUUGUAAGAAGGUUAAAAGUUAGGGAUAUUUCUAUUUUGUACUUAUCUUUUAAUAGUAUAUAGUAUACAUUGGCAUGUGUUUACUCUUGUGCCAUCUCUUUAAAUGCUGCAACAAAGCUCGAGCUCAAACGCCUUCAGCUUUGCUGUCAAAUCACCCAUCUCAAACA
rnacentral:lncRNA from 1 species